rnacentral:rRNA from 1 species
UGGGGAAUCUUGGACAAUGGGCGCAAGCCUGAUCCAGCCAUGCCGCGUGAGUGAAGAAGGUCUUCGGAUUGUAAAGCUCUUUUACCAGGGACGAUAAUGACGGUACCUGGAGAAUAAGCCCCGGCAAACUUCGUGCCAGCAGCCGCGGUAAUACGAAGGGGGCUAGCGUUGGUCGGAAUUACUGGGCGUAAAGCGCACGUAGGCGGGUCGUUAAGACAGGGGUGAAAUCCUGGCGCUCAACGCCGGGAC